rnacentral:rRNA from 1 species
GACGAACGCUGGCGGCGUGCCUAAUACAUGCAAGUAGAACGCUGAAGGAGGAGCUUGCUCUUCUGGAUGAGUUGCGAACGGGUGAGUAACGCGUAGGUAACCUGCCUGGUAGCGGGGGAUAACUAUUGGAAACGAUAGCUAAUACCGCAUAAGAGUAGGUGUCGCAUGACAUUUGCUUAAAAGGUGCAAUUGCAUCACUACCAGAUGGACCUGCGUUGUAUUAGCUAGUUGGUGAGGUAACGGCUCACCAAGGCAACGAUACAUAGCCGACCUGAGAGGGUGAUCGGCCACACUGGGACUGAGACACGGCCCAGACUCCUACGGGAGGCAGCGGUAGGGAAUCUUCGGCAAUGGACGGAAGUCUGACCGAGCAACGCCGCGUGAGUGAAGAAGGUUUUCGGAUCGUAAAGCUCUGUUGUAAGAGAAGAACGAGUGUGAGAGUGGAAAGUUCACACUGUGACGGUAUCUUACCAGAAAGGGACGGCUAACUACGUGCCAGCAGCCGCGGUAAUACGUAGGUCCCGAGCGUUGUCCGGAUUUAUUGGGCGUAAAGCGAGCGCAGGCGGUUAGAUAAGUCUGAAGUUAAAGGCUGUGGCUUAACCAUAGUACGCUUUGGAAACUGUUUAACUUGAGUGCAAGAGGGGAGAGUGGAAUUCCAUGUGUAGCGGUGAAAUGCGUAGAUAUAUGGAGGAACACCGGUGGCGAAAGCGGCUCUCUGGCUUGUAACUGACGCUGAGGCUCGAAAGCGUGGGGAGCAAACAGG